GUGGGAAGAUUCAAUUUGAUGAAGUCUCUGAUGGAUACUAGCUCAUUGUGUUGAUGGGCUGUAUUCUGCUCAAUGUGCUCCAAUAGACGGUUGGUGGCACGCUUGUUCCUCUCAAUUUCUAACAUAACCUCUGUCAUCAAAGGCGGAUCGCGAGGACCUUCUUCAUCCCUACCAUCUCCAUGGUUCAUACCACGACCAGCAGAAUUCCGGAUUACUCGCGACAUCCUGAAGGAAACAACCAGGGUUCAGGAACAAGGAAGAACGCUAAAACACCACAAUC
rnacentral:lncRNA from 1 species